UACGUAGGGUGCGAGCGUUAAUCGGAAUUAUUGGGCGUAAAGAGCUCGUAGGCGGUCUGUCGCGUCCGUUGUGAAAACUCGAGGCUCAACCUCGGGCUUGCAGUGGAUACGGGCAGACUAGAGUGCGGUAGGGGAGACUGGAAUUCCUGGUGUAGCGGUGGAAUGCGCAGAUAUCAGGAGGAACACCGAUGGCGAAGGCAGGUCUCUGGGCCGCAACUGACGCUGGAGGAAGCGAAAGCGUGGGGAGCGAACAGG
rnacentral:rRNA from 1 species